GCGUAGCUCAGUUGGAAGAGCAUUGGGCUAGUAUUCCAAAGGUCGUAGGUUCAAAUGGUAUUUAUAUGUC
rnacentral:tRNA from 1 species